AUGCAAAACAAUCAACAAAAUUAUGAAUUUCAAAGACUGGAAGCAUGUGUCGUAGGAAUCACAAGAUGGGAAACAGAGCUUUCACCUACUUUAUAUGUUGACACCCCCUAUUUUGAUCUGACAUGGAGAAUCACUUUUGAGCACAAGACAUGGAACAAGAAAGAAGACGGGAGAAGAAUGGAUUUACAAAUAAUUGCAAUUGUAGCAUUGAACAAAUGA